UUUCAGUUGGAUGCCAGGCAUGGUCAGUCGUACCUUGGGGUGCUGGGUGCUUUGUCUUCCUACAGAUAUUUUUAUGCCUUCAGGGCUGGAAAGGAACUUUCAUCAGUAUAGCUGUGGUGGGAAGCCCCGUCCACAGCUGUCUCGUCCUCUGACUUUUGCGAUAAGCCCCAUUUUGUUGUUGUUGCAUAAAACUGUUUCUAUCAUUCUGUUCCUCGCGCGCCAGAGCCAGAGCGGAUGGCAUCCAGCAGGGCCUGCCGCGCAUCCACCGCGCCGCCGCAGGGGCCCUGAGCUGGUCCUGGGGGCCGCCAUGGGUGCAGGGGGAGCCUGGGGCAUCGGCAGGGGCCCAGGGGCCUCAGGAGGCACUGCAGCCCAGCAGCCCCAGAGCUCUGCGGAGGCCGAAGAGGACACCUGGCAACAAGACACGCAGUGACCGCCACUGCCUUGGCCCUGCCACCUUGGAAUCCCGUCCUGCAUGCCAGGCCACAGGAAGGUGACCAGGAUCCGCCUCUCUAACCAACCACCUGGGCAGUGCCGUCAGCACAGGGUGGACCCAAUGGCGAGCAUCCCCAGAGGUGCUCCCAAGGGCACAGCUCCCAGCGACCUGUCUUGCCCUGGCCUCCAGCCCCCUCUGUGUGGGCCCAGGGAGUUGUGGCUCAGACACCUGGCCUGAGCGGCCCUGUCCCAGGCACAGGGCCAGGCCGCACCU
rnacentral:lncRNA from 1 species